AAGAAGAACUGAGGGCUGACUGAAUGGCUUCUGCACAACAAAAGAUAGAGAGAUCAUGCAGAGAACAUCAGAAGAGAUGGAAACACGGUCCAGGAAAAGCACUGUGCCUGCAUUCUUCAGUACAUAUGCUUUCUUUCUCCUUUGUGACUGAAUGUGAAAUGACUUUUCUUCCAUUGUCUCAGCUGAGUACAAUAAAUGAUGAGGACCUCUACAUUAAGGCAAGGCUUGGAAAGAGAUGGUCAAAACAAGUCCAACUCUCACCCUUUUAAGAGAUGGCUGGAGACUGGCCUGAAUUCACAGAGAGGAAUUCUUCUGAAUAGCACUAUUGGAGUGGAGCAGAAACUAUCAGUUGUGGAAAAGAAGUAAAGAACAAGAUGGAAGAACUUAUUAUGACCCUGUUUCCUUUGACUUGUCUACAAAUUAGCAGACCUAGUCUGAGCUGGGAGAAGGGGCAAGAUUUGAGUACAUGCUUGUUAAAAAUAAUGAUUUAGGUUGAACUAUUUGUUUAA